AUUGAACGCUGGCGGCAUGCUUUACACAUGCAAGUCGAACGGUAACAGGCCGCAAGGUGCUGACGAGUGGCGAACGGGUGAGUAAUGCAUCGGAACGUGCCCAGUCGUGGGGGAUAACGCAGCGAAAGCUGCGCUAAUACCGCAUACGAUCUAUGGAUGAAAGCGGGGGACCGUAAGGCCCCGCGCGAUUGGAGCGGCCGAUGUCAGAUUAGGUAGUUGGUGGGGUAAAGGCUCACCAAGCCGACGAUCUGUAGCUGGUCUGAGAGGACGAUCAGCCACACUGGGACUGAGACACGGCCCAGACUCCUACGGGAGGCAGCAGUGGGGAAUUUUGGACAAUGGGCGCAAGCCUGAUCCAGCAAUGCCGCGUGCAGGAUGAGGGCCUUCGGGUUGUAAACUGCUUUUGUACGGAACGAAAAGCCCUGGGUUAAUACCCUGGGGUCAUGACGGUACCGUAAGAAUAAGCACCGGCUAACUACGUGCCAGCCGCCGCGGUAAUAC
rnacentral:rRNA from 1 species